CUAGCAACAGCUUUAGCAGACAUAACGGCAGCGAUGACCAGCUACGGGGUAACGCUUAUCUCGGGUCAUGACUCUGGAUCACCCGUGUGGCAGAUGGGUGUGAAGUUAUCAGCCUAUACAAGGCAAGAUUAACACAUUCAGCCUAGAAUAAUAAUAGAAUAAUACAGGUACAUAUUUACAUGUGUACUUCCUUGAGAAACAACAGUUGGAGUGUGUUAAUUAUAACAUACACAGGCUGUGGAUCUCUCGUAAUAAAUUCCUACCCUUGUGAUAACGCUCUAUGUAGAUGAGUUCGUGGUGAAAAAUUACCUGCCCGAAUUAAGACCUAGAUUGUGAUUUGGUUUGAAAGUUUAUUCUCAGUUCUGGACUGACAUCGUCUAUAGUAUGUGCAGGAAACAGAUGCAGUUUUAAACACUUAAUAUCCCGGAUAAAUGCUGCAUGUUAAACAGCGAAUGUUAGGAAGUGUAAAAGCGCCUGUUGUUUUUCCCUUCGUGGAUGUGUUAAAGCCGCGAGGAACAUACAUAUACAGACAGCAGAGGUAUCACGAGGCAGGGGCAUCGCUGGAGUCGGAGCUCGAGAGCGCUGAAGUAUUCAGGUGUCUGUGAUUGUCUAGCGUUAUAAAGAUUCCGGUGCCACUACGCUCGUGUGUUCUAGGCUGGUCCACGCGUAUUCUGAGAGUCAAGUCGUUUCGUCGCAUAAGGAAUGUACAUGUUUGUGUGAUUAAACAGUCGAGGAGGUAAUCUGUUAACAGUGUAGGUCACGGGUACAUACCUUCUAUUCACUGCUAUUACAGUUCGUGCGAUGAGAUAAGAGAAAUCAUCACAGAGACCUAUACCCGUGCCUCGGAGACCUACUGGAACAUCGGGAUCUAACAGAAGCCUCGGUGUCCAUCCUGAACCUCUGAGGCCUACCCGAAACUCGAAGACCAACCUGAACCUCGAAAGCCUACCCGAAACUCCAAGACCAACCUGAAUCUCGAAGAGCUACCCGAAACUCGAAUACCUACCUGAAACUCGAAGACCGACCCGAAACCCGAAGACCUACCCGAAAUCGGAAGACCUACCAGAAACCCGAAGACCAACCUGAAUCUCGAAGAUCUACCCGAAACCCGAAGACCUUCCAGAAACCCUGAGACCUACCUGAAACUCGAAGACCAACCUGAACCUCGAAAGCCUACCCGAAACUCCAAGACCAACCUGAAUCUCGAAGAGCUACCCGAAACUCGAAUACCUACCUGAAACUCGAAGACCGACCCGAAACCCGAAGACCUACCCAAAAUCGGAAGACCUACCAGAAACCCGAAGACCAAGCCGAAACUCGAAGAUCUAUCCGAAACUCGAAGAUCUACCCGAACCUCGAAGACGUAUCCGAAACUCGAAGACUACCCCAAACCCGAAGACCAACCUGAAUCUCGAAGAUCUACCCGAAACCCGAAGACCUUCCCGAAACCCUGAGACCUACCUGAACCUCGAAGACCAACCUGAACCUCGAAAGCCUACCCGAAACUCCAAGACCAACCUGAAUCUCGAAGAGCUACCCGAAACUCGAAUACCUACCUGAAACUCGAAGACCGACCCGAAACCCGAAGACCUACCCGAAAUCGGAAGACCUACCAGAAACCCGAAGACCUACCCGAAACCCUGAGACCUACCGGACCCCGAAGAUCUACCCGAUCCCCGGAGACUUAUCCGACUCCCGAAGCGCCCCUUUGCGUCUCCCGCUGACCUAUACGCACAUGAAUGGUAUUCUGACAAUGAAAGGGGGUCGAUAAUGUCAUGUAAAAUCGCAUACCAUAAAUCACGGGCGCAAAGCACCACGUGAUAUGCGAGGCUUUCUGUACCGGCUUUAUUGAUGUGUGAUAAAACCCACGUGGCACCGUGGGGAUAAACUGUGUGUUGCAGCAGCAUUGCAUCACCGUGCAGCCGGGCGACUGGCGCGCCAACUCGAAGACGUCCCAGUGUCACCAUGUCGUGGAGAGUGACCCCGAGAUGUUCGUAUCUUGUCUGUUUAACCCUCUUGCUUCUGACCAUUGGUCAGUCUGUAGCCACACCCAGCUGUCGUCCAGACACGAACUGCACAAUCCAGGAGACACUCCCCUGUGCAGUCCGUUCCACACAGUUCUGCCGGGAAAACAUCGGGAUGUUCUCGCGUCCCUCGGGGCAACUAUCGUGGCCGGGAAAACCACGUGACUUUGAGGUGAAGGCCGUGGAGAUACAGUGUGAUUUGGCCAUUGUUUCCGGUCUCCGCUUCCAGUGGAAGGCCCCACAGGACAGUAGCGUGCACCACAUGAAGGGGUUCAAGUUGACGGUGACGGCGCUGGACGGCAGAUGGAGGGGGAGUUCCCCCAUUUGUCGACUGUUUGAUCUGAGGAACGCUUCGUGGUCUAUUCCUGACGUAGAAGUAAAUUUCACCUAUAGGUUGUAUCCACUUCCAAACAAUACGCAGUAUUAUGUCACCCUCGUAAGCCUGCCACAACCGGAAGUACAACAUCUACCGGAAAUGGGUUACCACGUGACGGUGUACAUUCCGCCAAUAGGCCCAGGGGACUGGCGGAGUGAUAUUCGCACCUCUUUGGACGAGAACAAUCUCACAGUGACUUUCAACCUCGCUCCUAACUACUACAAAUUCCGACACUACGAUGUCAUCCUGAGGGGACUAAGUAACGAUACAUCUACCCGGCACACCCUUAAAGUUGGGGGCAGAGUCAAGAAUCGGGAUAGAUAUAAGCAGACCGUCUUCUACGAUGUUCCUACCGGAAAGUAUAGAGUUGAGGUGAUGCCUGUCGGUGGAGCGUGUCAGUUUGACUGUUCCAUGACAGUGAAAGGUCCAAUCGUAGUGGAGCACCGUCAACGACAACGACAACUGUCAUCAGAUUGGACGCCCCACAUCAACGUCUCUGUUGACGUCAACAACACCGUCAUCGUGACAUUUCAUGCUGCCAUCAGCGACGACAUCGCACACUACAACGUGAUACUCUCUAGCAUCAACACUACCAACGAACAGCAGCACAUCCUGUCGCAGGAUCACCACAAUGUUUUGAAAACAACGUUUCAGAACGUUUCUCCGGGGACUUACAGAAUUGGGCUGCAACCGCUUGGCGGACUAUGUGAGCAAGCAUGCAGCACAGUGUGGACCAACACCAUCUUAGUGACGUCUCAUGUACAACCAGAGCGCAUGUCCAUGCUCAACAAUCGUUUGCCUGGUUCAUCCGGGUCUCCUAAUGACGUCAUCAAAACCGUUCUGGGGUCCGUGCUGGGCGUGCUUGUUGCGUUAAUUCUGUUGCUGCUCUUCGCCUUCUCACUGAGGAACAGAGGUCGAGGUAUGAGGGGGACCUUUUCGUGUUUGGAACAGCGGAGCUAACUCACGUGACAGCCGAGAACCCUUGACAGCAGCUCCAAGUCAUAAAAACAAAAUUGCCAUGCAGCUACUUCCCCUUGAGCGGCGGAAGGUGUUUCUGUUGUACACGGAGGACCACGAAGCGCAUGUUAAACUUGUAGGCACUCUUGCCCUCUAUCUGCAAACCUACUGUUUCUGUGACGUGU
rnacentral:misc_RNA from 1 species